UACGAGGGGGGCGAGCGUUGUUCGGAAUUAUUGGGCGUAAAGCGCGCGUAGGCGGUUACUUAAGUCGGAUGUGAAAGCCCUCGGCUUAACUGAGGAAGUGCACCCGAAACUGAGUAGCUAGAGUACGAAAGAGGGUCGCGGAAUUCCCGGUGUAGAGGUGAAAUUCGUAGAUAUCGGGAGGAACACCGGUGGCGAAGGCGGCGACCUGGGUCGAGACUGACGCUGAGGCGCGAAAGCGUGGGGAGCAAACAGG
rnacentral:rRNA from 1 species